rnacentral:tRNA from 1 species
GGACGUGUAGCUCAGAGGAAGAGCGGCUGCAUCCUAAGCAGCGGGUCGGAGGUUCGAAUCCUUCCACGUUCACCA